UCCUGGUCACUGUGCACAAUACUGCAGCUACACCACCAUGGAGAAUAACACCAAGGAGAUCAUUCAUGUUGCCACCAUAGACAAGCGGCAAACAUCAUGGAACUCUGUCGUCAUGGAGAAGGAGGGUUUCAUCCAGACUGGACAAGCUUACAUCAGAGAUAAAGCUAGUGGAAAUCUGCACAGAUGCUCAAGGCCAGAUUGGUGCCCUUACUUCAUGUGAUAUAUUGUAUGGAUGCAUGUGUAUAACAGCAAUAUAAAUAUUAUAGUAACAUGACAUUAUUUACCGCUUCAUAGACCCAGACAAAGGCAAAUACAAGGCCCUUGGAAUUCAUCACAGUUUGGACAUGUGGCAUGGUGCGAAGAACCUUGCCAAAAAAAUAGCAGCAGCCGCAAAGAUGAAAGGAUAGUCCAUCCUCUUCAACAGGCUGAAGGACAUAGUCAACCAUUUUCGGUGGUGUUGCAAGACUGCCGACACACGUGGGCAGUUUCUUGCAUUAUGGGUUGGCAUCCUUCACCAUGUCUGCAACAUUCACACCUGGACUAUGGGAAGCUGCAAACACGGGCACCUUGAAUCGGAGCAAAUGUGAGUAAAGAUGUGGAUCCAGAGAGACUCCCAGUGCCACAAAGCGUUAGUGCAUAUAGUUCUCAAUAAAAGGUGGCAGAAAGAUGUUCACAAAUAUCUGCGAUUGAGGUAGUGUGGCUAUACUUUUUCACACUACAGACCUAGAGUCAGUCCAGAAUCAUAUCCUCAUGUUUGCCAGCAAGCGCUAUGCUUUCAGCCCCCCAGUUUAUGAGGCAAGACUUCUGCUUGCUGCUUUGGACUACAAUUUCCAUCGGAACCUACCAACAAUGAAAACGUUGGACAUCAAAGAGAUGUACGUUUUACACUUAUAUAAUAUUCCCAUUCAUAGUACAAUAUUCAGCCAAUGUUUUAUAUGCAUUUGAUUGUCUUUACACUCAAGGUUUUCUCUUGUUCUACUUACAAACUGAUAUUAAAUGGUUGUAAUUUGUGUAAUUUCAGUUUCAAAACAUUGUAUAAGAAGAACGCUAGAAGAUACAGUGUGUAUACCUUGAAAUCUGAUCAAAACUCCAAGAUCUGCGCUUCUAGAGAUCUGCUGUGAUGGGACCAGCAAAGGGUUGCUUGGAUGGUCUGUUGAAGGACAACAAUGUAACCCCCUCUUUAAAUUUCAUAACAUAUUAUUUAUUACAAAAUGCCUUUCAGCCAUUCGUUCACAAAAUAACACAUCAACAACAUGAGAGACUACUGCUGCAUAAACUGUACAACUGUUGAUAUAAAAUGAACCAUCUAAAACCUAACUCAUUCUCACUCCCAAGUUGUCACAUAUGUACGAAUGGUCAAGACCCUUUGUUGUCACUUUAUAACGCACUUGAGAGCCCCAUAGUCAUAGUUCAACAUACUGGGGAAAGCCCUGUAGCAUAGUUUUUGAAUGCUAAAGACAGGUGUAGAAUAUUUAACACUAGUGUAGCACUUUAGCUAACUUACCAACCUAAGUUCUGAGAAGUAUAGUAGGUGUAAGAAAUAGACUGUGUGUGAUUAAAGAAGAGUGGGCAGGUUUAUUACAGCACCUUUAACACUCUCAUAGUACACCGACCAUGUUUGAAACAAUCCCCAGAAUAUGAAGAGCUCUUUCAUAAAAAAUUCAAUUUUAAAAAGUGUCCAGGGUCUUUCAGUUAUUUGCAUCUCUACCUGGGAAGGAUAAUGGACGUGUGGUGGAUCUUUCUUAUCUGCCAGUGUCCUAUAAUCUGAUGUGUCAGUGCUGUUGAAUGGGAUCCGAAGCAGCUGACCAUACCGUGGUCCGAUCUCAUCGUAUAGGGUGCAUCAUCUCUGGGACUCGCUCACCAUCUGCAUCCAGGGAAGAGUUGACCUCUAAGUUACAACCCAGGGUCUCAAAAACCAGUCUGCACAUAUAGUAUGGAAUAAAUCAGAUAAAUCAUCACAGUCAAUGUUCUUCAAAUAAGAUCUCAUCCCGUUUGUCAAAAUUCAAUAUCAUCACCCUUUUGUCUAGGGAAUCUUCUUAAGUUUUACAUUGUUAUACCAAAGAUUUAUAACUUUACCAGGUAGCAUUUAAGCAAGACAUCACUACUAUGAAUUGAUUAAAUUUCUCCAUCUCUCAGCAUUACAUUACAUUACUGAACAGUUUUCCCAUUUUAGGCAAGGAAAUUACCUUUAACAUGUACAUACACAAUACUGUAAAUAAAAAUACCUCUUAAGGUAUUACAUGUAGCUUACACAGCCAAAAGUACCUCCAGAGAUUAGUUUGAAACCACGACACAACAAAAUACUGUUGAACAGUUCACAACAUCGCAUUCACAACAUCCUCCGACUGCUUUUAACUUACAGUAAUAUGGUUUUAACCCACCCAUUUAAGCUAGCAUCACGCUGCACUUUUAGCUCUCUCCUGAAAGUUACAAAGGUUACUCACCGGAGUUUCCAAGGUAAAAAAAAACAACUCCUUAGGCAAAUGGCGGCAAAAUCCCGAAUGAUGGUGUUUUUACACUUAAGACCCGUUUCUGGGCCCAUGGGAUCUCGUUUUUCCAGCUUAGCCCGCUUCUCUCUGUUCUUCGUCGUUGCGGUCUGGCGCUACAGUGAGCGCAUACUGCAGAGAUUACUGGAUGCGCCGAGGGUCAAUAUAGCGC